UACGAAGGGUGCAAGCGUUAAUCGGAAUUACUGGGCGUAAAGCGUGCGCAGGCGGUUCGCUAAGACCGAUGUGAAAUCCCCGGGCUUAACCUGGGAACUGCAUUGGUGACUGGCGGGCUAGAGUGUGGCAGAGGGGGGUAGAAUUCCACGUGUAGCAGUGAAAUGCGUAGAGAUGUGGAGGAAUACCGAUGGCGAAGGCAGCCCCCUGGGCUAACACUGACGCUCAUGCACGAAAGCGUGGGGAGCAAACAGG
rnacentral:rRNA from 1 species